UCAAGCGAACAAGGGCGCAGGGCGAAUGCCUUGGCACUGGGAGCCGAUGAAAGACGUGAUAAGCUGCGAUAAGCUUCGGGGAGCUGCAAAUAAGCAUUGAUCCGGAGAUUUCUGAAUGAGGAAACUCACCUGGGUUCAUACUCAGGUACAAUACACUGAAAUUUAAAAUAGGUGUAUUGAGGGAACCGCCUGAACUGAAACAUCUAAGUAGGGCGAGGAAGAGACAUCAAACGAGAUUCCGUAAGUAGUGGCGAGCGAACGCGGAAGAGGGCAAACCGAGAGUAGAAAUACUUUCGGGGUACGGACUGCUUUUAAGACUCAAUCUGUUAACCGAACGGCAUGGGAAGGCCGGUCAGAGAGUGUGAGAACCACGUAGGUGAAAACGGAGAGAGCUGCGCAGGAUCCAGAGUACGGCCAGACACGUGAAACCUGGUCGGAAUACGGGGGGACCACCCUCCAACCCUAAAUACUACCCAGUGACCGAUAGCGUAUAGUACUGUGAAGGAAAGGUGAAAAGCACCCCGGGAGGGGAGUGAAAAAGAACCUGAAACCCUGUGCCUACAAGCACCUAGAGCGCGUCAAUGCGUGAUAGGGUACUUUUUGUAGAACGGUCCGGCGAGCGAUUGUAUGCAGCAAGGUUAAGGACUUAAGGUCUGGAGCCGAAGCGAAAGCGAGUUUGAAAAGGGCGUUAAGUUGCAUAUAAUGGGCCCGAAACCGGGUGACCUACCCAUGGUCAGGUUGAAGUGGAAGUAAAAUUCCAUGGAGGACCGAACCGACCUCCGUUGAAAAGGCGGCGGAUGAACUGUGGGUAGCGGAGAAAUUCCAAUCGAACCCGGAGAUAGCUGGUUCUCCCCGAAAUAGUUUUAGGACUAGCCUCAAGUUAGAUACCUGGAGGUAAAGCACUGAAUAGCCUAGCGGCCGAGAGGUUAGCGAAGCUUAUCAAACUCAGAAUGCCAGAGUAUUGAUGCUUGGGAGUCAGACAGUGUCAGAUAAAUGUCAUUGUCAAAAGGGAAACAGCCCAGAUCUACAGCUAAGGUCCCAAAGUCAGGUUAAGUGGAAAACGAUGUGAAGAUACGCAGACAACCAGGAUGUUGGCUCAGAAGCAGCCACUCAUUCAAAGAGUGCGUAAUAGCUCACUGGUCGAGCGUCUUUGCGCGGAGAAUUUAACGGGGCUAAACCUGACACCGAAGCUUAGGCAAUACAGCAAUGUAUUGGGUAGGGGAGCGUUGUAUACGCGGUGAAACAGUAGCGCAAGCGGCUGUGGAGUGUAUAGAAGUGAGAAUGCCGGAAUGAGUAGCGCGAAUGCAGUGAGAAUCUGCAUGGCCGAAAGCCUCAGGUUUCUGGAGGAAGGUUCGUCCGCUCCAGGUUAGUCGGGAGCUAAGGUGAGGCCUAACGGCGUAGCCGAUGCACAGACGGUAGAGAUUCCGUCACCACCAAAAGAGUUAAGCACAGGGACACAUUUGAAGUCUCGGAGCCGGGUGUUGGUUCCGGUAGCGAUCGAGGGAAGUUAGUACCGAAGUCCGGGAUGGAAGAUGGCGAGAAAAGCUGUGUGUAUUUCUGCGGUGCCCGUACCGCAAACCGACACAGGUAGGUAGGAAGAAGAUUCUAAGGCCAACGGGAGAAGGGUUGUUAAGGAACUCGGCAAAUUGACCCCGUAACUUCGGGAGAAGGGGUGCUCCAGAGAUGGAGCCGCAGAGAAUCGGCCCAAGCAACUGUUUACCAAAAACACAGGUUUGUGCUAAAUCGAAAGAUGACGUAUACGAGCUGACGCCUGCCCGGUGCUGGAAGGUUAAGAGGAGAUGUGCAAGCAUUGAAUCGAAGCCCCAGUGAACGGCGGCCGUAACUAUAACGGUCCUAAGGUAGCGAAAUUCCUUGUCAGGUAAGUUCUGACCCGCAUGAAAGGCGUAAUGAUUUGGGCACUGUCUCAACAGCCCGCCCGGCGAAAUUGUAGUACCGGUGAAGAUGCCGGUUACCCGCGACAAGACGGAAAGACCCCAUGGAGCUUUACUGUAGCCUAAUAUUGGGUUUCGAUGUUGCAUGCACAGGAUAGAUGGGACACUGGGAAGUGAUCGCUUUGGCGGUCGUGGAGUGGCCGUUGGGAUACCAUCCUUGCGAUAUUGGAAUUCUAACCUGCGGCUCUGAAUCGAGUCGGGGGACAUUGUUAGGUGGGCAGUUUGACUGGGGCGGUCGCCUCCUAAAGAGUAACGGAGGCGUUCAAAGGUUCGCUCAGCUUGAACGGAAAUCAAGCAAAAGAGUGCAAACGCAGAAGCGAGCCUAACUGCGAGACUGACGGGUCGAGCAGUAACGAAAGUUGGAGUUAGUGAUCCGGUGGUAUGUGAGUGGAAAUGCCAUCGCUCAACGGAUAAAAG
rnacentral:rRNA from 1 species